rnacentral:rRNA from 1 species
GUCCUACGGGGGGCAGCAGUAGGGAAUUUUCGUCAAUGGGCGCAAGCCUGAACGAGCGAUGCCGCGUGAGUGAAGAAGGCCUUCGGGUCGUAAAGCUCUGUUGCGGGGGAAAAAAGGCAGCAUCAGGAAAUGGGUGCUGACUGAUGGUGCCCCGCCAGAAAGUCACGGCUAACUACGUGCCAGCAGCCGCGGUAAUACGUAGGUGGCGAGCGUUAUCCGGAAUGAUUGGGCGUAAAGGGUGCGCAGGCGGCAUGUCAAGUCUGAAGUGAAAGGUACGGGCUUCACCUGUACAGGCUUUGGAAACU